rnacentral:rRNA from 1 species
AUUGAACGCUGGCGGCAGGCCUAACACAUGCAAGUCGAGCGGAUGACGGGAGCUUGCUCCUUGAUUCAGCGGCGGACGGGUGAGUAAUGCCUAGGAAUCUGCCUGGUAGUGGGGGACAACGUUUCGAAAGGAACGCUAAUACCGCAUACGUCCUACGGGAGAAAGCAGGGGACCUUCGGGCCUUGCGCUAUCAGAUGAGCCUAGGUCGGAUUAGCUAGUAGGUGGGGUAAUGGCUCACCUAGGCGACGAUCCGUAACUGGUCUGAGAGGAUGAUCAGUCACACUGGAACUGAGACACGGUCCAGACUCCUACGGGAGGCAGCAGUGGGGAAUAUUGGACAAUGGGCGAAAGCCUGAUCCAGCCAUGCCGCGUGUGUGAAGAAGGUCUUCGGAUUGUAAAGCACUUUAAGUUGGGAGGAAGGGCAGUAAGUUAAUACCUUGCUGUUUUGACGUUACCGACAGAAUAAGCACCGGCUAACUCUGUGCCAGCCGCCGCCGUAACAC